CAAUUGCAAGCUGCUGGGAAAGGAGUGCAGGCAAUAGGAGGGAAUGCAGCGAGUCCAACUCUGAGGGCCCUGCAUGGUACAUGAUCUGCCUGAUGAUGAUCCGAGCUUUCUGCUAACAUUUGCUCAUGCUUUGUGGCUUUGAAGGGAUGGUGAGCCGCGUUGGCUGGGGCUGAGUCGGAAUCCAACAACAUCUGGAGAGCCAUAGGUUUCCCAUCUCUGAUGUAGAACAAUUUUCUUGGAAAAACAAAAAUCUGAAAAAUAAAGAAUACAGAUGCUGCAAUCUGAUUAGUGAUACGAUAUGAAGAAUUUCCAAAAGGAAAAAAAAGGGGAAAAAAGAGACCUCCUCUGUUGAUAUGGAUGAAUACUUCUGGAGACGUUUGUUGUGAGAUACUGAAGAAGGCUCAUGUCCAGCACUGCCCUGUGUUCCCCGGAGAUGGGUUGGGAUAAAAAAAAUAAAAAAAAAUCAAGGAUGUUGUUGUGACUGCAUGCUCCAUCUGCUCCUCUCUCUCAUUUCACACUCCACAAUUGAAAACUUAGGAACAAAGGAGUCCACACUGAUUUGGCUGUCCAAUCUUUCAGAUUCACCUUUCCAUGGAAAACUGGCCAGUUAACUAAAAAAACCCUGCUGCACAUGAUCUGUCUGGGAUAGCUGAAUGAUCCAUUGCAAUAUCAAGCUCCUGUUUAGAAGAGUCUCUGUAUAGUCUCGGAACGGUAUGCACUCAUUAAUAAUGGGGCAGGAGACAACUAGUAAGUGCAGUGACUGUUUGAUCAAUGCAGUAGUCAUCUGUGUGAGCUCUGAAACAAUUCUUCCACUGACAUCUAGAAACUGAACUGUUGAGACAAGAAUUCUUGGGAGCACUUACUUAUGCUUUGUUCCAAAUGUGACAUAAAAUUCCCAAUCAAAGCUCUGCAACUUCAACUUCUCCAGCACCACAUGUAAAAAUAUAAUCAUAUGUGAAUCACAUGUAAGACGUAUAAUCAUAGAAUUGUGGAACUGGAAGCAAUCUGGAAAUCCAGCUUCCCCACUCCGCACCAUACUCUGAAUGUUUCCUCUCCAAUGUAAUGUCUCUUCACACUGUGAACUUAUGAAAUAUGAGCCACAAGGGUCCUUUUCAGGUUUUACUCACUGAAUUAAUGCCUGGGUGGGGCUAUGCCAGUGAGCCUUGUUCCUAAUGUUGUGCACCCCACCAGCCUCAACUCCUAAUGCUCAUACACUGAUGUGCCACACAGGGUUUCUUAUUGCAUUGAUGCUUUCACAUGUACAACUGUAUACAUGAAGUCUUC